UACGGAGGGUGCGAGCGUUGUCCGGAAUCACUGGGCGUAAAGGGCGCGUAGGUGGCGCGGGAAGUCAACGGUGAAAGUUCGGGGCUCAACCCUGAAUCGGCCGUCGAUACUCCCGGGCUCGAGCACUGUAGAGGCUCAUGGAAUUCCGGGUGUAGCGGUGGAAUGCGUAGAGAUCCGGAAGAACACCGGUGGCGAAGGCGGUGAGCUGGGCAGUUGCUGACACUGAGGCGCGACAGCGUGGGGAGCAAACAGG
rnacentral:rRNA from 1 species